CGGUGGAGCAUGUGGUUUAAUUCGAUGAUACGCGAGGAACCGUUACCUGGGCGUCGAACGUAAGAUGACUGUAGGUGAAAGCUUACAUCUCUUCGGAGCAUUUUACGAGGUGCUGCAUGGUUGUCGUCAGCUCGUGCCGUGAGGUGUCGGGUUAAGUCCCAUAACGAGCGCAACCCCUACCCUUAGUUGCCAUCAGGUUAAGCUGGGGACUCUAAAGGAACUGCCUACGCAAGUAGUGAGGAAGCGGGGAUGACGUCAAAUCAGCACGGCCCUUACGUCCAGGGCUACACACGUGCUACAAUGGCCGAUACAGAGGGCAGCUACCUGGUGACAGGAUGCAAAUCUCCAAAGUCGGUCUCAGUUCGGAUCGGAGUCUGCAACCCGACUCCGUGAAGUUGGAUUCGCUAGUAAUCGCGCAUCAGCCAUGGCGCGGUGAAUACGUUCCCGGGCCUU
rnacentral:rRNA from 1 species